rnacentral:rRNA from 1 species
UACGUAGGGUGCAAGCGUUGUCCGGAAUUACUGGGCGUAAAGCGCGUGUAGGCGGAUUGCUAAGUCGGGCGUGAAAUCCCCAGGCUCAACCUGGGAACUGCGCUCGAAACUGACAGUCUCGAGUAUCGGAGAGGGUGGCGGAAUUCCUGGUGUAGAGGUGAAAUUCGUAGAUAUCAGGAGGAACACCGGUGGCGAAGGCGGCCACCUGGACGAUUACUGACGCUGAGACGCGAAAGCGUGGGGAGCAAGCAGG